GGUGCUGUGGCCAUUUUCAAUGUUGGGAAAGAGUUUUAACCGAUCAAAAUCAUUUGAAACGUCUUUUUAUUGGUUUUUCUGAUUCUUCCCCUUAGAGGUAAAUUGCGUUUUGAUGUUUGUUUUUAUUUCUAAAACUAAUAUUUGUUUGUAUAUUUUUACAGGUUUGAAUUUGUUAGAGUUGAAUUUUCUAACGUUUUGAUCGCGGG
rnacentral:lncRNA from 1 species